rnacentral:rRNA from 1 species
AACGCUAGCUACAGGCUUAACACAUGCAAGUCGAGGGGAAACGAUAUUGGAAGCUUGCUUCCGAUAGGCGUCGACCGGCGCACGGGUGAGUAACGCGUAUCCAACCUGCCCACCACUUGGGGAUAACCUUGCGAAAGUAAGACUAAUACCCGAUGAUAUCUCUAGACGACAUCUGAAAGGGAUUAAAGAUUUAUCGGUGAUGGAUGGGGAUGCGUCUGAUUAGCUUGUUGGCGGGGUAACGGCCCACCAAGGCGACGAUCAGUAGGGGUUCUGAGAGGAAGGUCCCCCACAUUGGAACUGAGACACGGUCCAAACUCCUACGGGAGGCAGCAGUGAGGAAUAUUGGUCAAUGGGCGAGAGCCUGAACCAGCCAAGUAGCGUGCAGGACGACGGCCCUAUGGGUUGUAAACUGCUUUUAUAAGGGAAUAAAGUGAGUCUCGUGAGACUUUUUGCAUGUACCUUAUGAAUAAGGACCGGCUAAUUCCGUGCCAGCAGCCGCGGUAAUACGGAAGGUCCGGGCGUUAUCCGGAUUUAUUGGGUUUAAAGGGAGCGUAGGCCGGAGAUUAAGCGUGUUGUGAAAUGUAGACGCUCAACGUCUGCACUGCAGCGCGAACUGGUUUCCUUGAGUACGCACAAAGUGGGCGGAAUUCGUGGUGUAGCGGUGAAAUGCUUAGAUAUCACGAAGAACUCCGAUUG